GUUUUAAAUAUCCAAAUGGCCGUUGGCAGAUAAAAGAUUCCCCACCUGUGUUCUACAAUGACAAAGGUAUUAUUAGGUAUGUACAAUAUAUGUGCUUGCUAAUGAAUGGUGAAUAUGCACACCUUGACAUAAUUACAAGUAAUUGUACAUUUAUUUUACUAUUGCACAAUAUUGUCCUUUAUACCUCAAAAGCUAAACACAGAGGCUGUAGUACGUUAUUUAUCUUGCUUUUUCCUGUUAG